AUACUUUUCUAAUAAAAACAAAAACAAAAACAAAAAAACCUGUUCUUAUCAGUUGCAAUAUCUGAUAUGUUCUCCAAUGGAGAGCUGUGUAGCGAGCUUAUUUUCGUUCUUUGGAGUUGGACUUGAAGCUUGCUUUUUCCUCUCUUUGCGUCAGCCUGGUAUUGUAGUGCUUCCGGGAGUGGUGCCUUUUCC
rfam:Alligator sinensis unplaced genomic scaffold scaffold150_1, whole genome shotgun sequence